rnacentral:rRNA from 1 species
UCCUCCCUCUGGCGGCGUGCUUAACACAUGCAAGUCGAACGGAAAGGCCCUGCUUUUGUGGGGUGCUCGAGUGGAGAACGGGUGAGUAACACGUGAGUAACCUGCCCUUGACUUUGGGAUAACUUCAGGAAACUGGGGCUAAUACCGGAUAGGAGCUCCUGCUGAAUGGUGGGGGUUGGAAAGUUUCGGCGGUUGGGGAUGGACUCGCGGCUUAUCAGCUUGUUGGUGGGGUAGUGGCUUACCAAGGCUUUGACGGGUAGCCGGCCUGAGAGGGUGACCGGCCACAUUGGGACUGAGAUACGGCCCAGACUCCUACGGGAGGCAGCAGUGGGGAAUAUUGCACAAUGGGCGGAAGCCUGAUGCAGCAACGCCGCGUGCGGGAUGACGGCCUUCGGGUUGUAAACCGCUUUCGCCUGUGACGAAGCGUGAGUGACGGUAAUGGGUAAAGAAGCACCGGCUAACUACGUG